AGUGAACGCUGGCGGCAGGCCUAAUACAUGCAAGUCGAACGGCAGCACAGUGGAGCUUGCUCCAUGGGUGGCGAGUGGCGGACGGGUGAGGAAUACAUGGGAAUCUGCCCAGUCGUGGGGGAUAACGUAGGGAAACUUACGCUAAUACCGCAUGCGCCCUUCGGGGGAAAGCCGGGGACCUUCGGGCCUGGCGCGAUUGGAUGAGCCCAUGUUCGAUUAGCUAGUUGGCGGGGUAAAGGCCCACCAAGGCGACGAUCGAUAGCUGGUCUGAGAGGAUGAUCAGCCACACUGGGACUGAGACACGGCCCAGACUCCUACGGGAGGCAACAGUAGGGAAUAUUGGACAAUGGGCGCAAGCCUGAUCCAGCCAUGCCGCGUGAGUGAAGAAGGCCCUCGGGUUGUAAAGCUCUUUUGUCCGGGAAGAAAAGCAUCGGGCUAAUACCUCGGUGUUCUGACGGUACCGGAAGAAUAAGCACCGGCUAACUUCGUG
rnacentral:rRNA from 1 species